AAGAGCGGUCCGGAAAUUAAGGGUUAUCGGAGGUUUCCAUGGAUUGUUCUAAUAAAUGCAGAAGAAAAAUAAAAGAUAUAAAAACAUAAGCCUUAACCCUUAGUCGCCACCUUGACCGCUCU
rnacentral:sRNA from 1 species